rnacentral:rRNA from 1 species
GAUGAACGCUGGCGGCGUGCUUAACACAUGCAAGUCGAACGGAAAGGCCCAAGCUUGCUUGGGUCCUCGAGUGGCGAACGGGUGAGUAACACGUGGGUGAUCUGCCCUGCACUUCGGGAUAAGCCUGGGAAACUGGGUCUAAUACCGGAUAGGACCACUUCUUGGAUGUUGUGGUGGAAAGUUUUUUCGGUGUGGGAUGAGCUCGCGGCCUAUCAGCUUGUUGGUGGGGUAAUGGCCUACCAAGGCGUCGACGGGUAGCCGGCCUGAGAGGGUGUACGGCCACAUUGGGACUGAGAUACGGCCCAGACUCCUACGGGAGGCAGCAGUGGGGAAUAUUGCACAAGGGGCGCAAGCCUGAUGCAGCGACGCCGCGUGGGGGAGGACGGCCUUCGGGUUGUAAACGCCUUUCGCUAGGGACGAAGCGUUUUGUGACGGUACCUGGAGAAGAAGCACCGGCUAACUACGUG